CCUACGGGAGGCAGCAGUGAGGAAUAUUGGUCAAUGGACGCAAGUCUGAACCAGCCAUGCCGCGUGCAGGAAGACGGCUCUAUGAGUUGUAAACUUCUUUUGUACGAGGGUAAACGCAGAUACGCGUACCUGUUUGAAAGUACCGUAUGAAUAAGGAUCGGCUAACUCCGUGCCAGCAGCCGCGGUAAUACGGAGGAUCCAAGCGUUAUCCGGAUUUAUUGGGUGUAAAGGGUGCGUAGGCGGGCGGAUAAGUUAGAGGUGAAAUCCUGCGGCUCAACUUAAGAAUUGCAUUUGAUACUGUUCGGCUAGAGAGUAGUUGCGGUAGGCGGAAUGUGUGGUGUAGCGGUGAAAUGCUUAGAGAUCAUGCAGAACACCGAUUGCGAAGGCAGCUUAC
rnacentral:rRNA from 1 species